GAUGGACAGGAACAGGUUGGAUUUAAGAUUGCAUCACUCUGGAUCAACACAAUCUGAGGAAUCAGCGUUAGAUUUGGAAAGAAACUGUUGCAAUCAUCCUAAUUUGCACUGGUCAAGUCCAUCUUCACUUCAGCCCUUUGCAUCAGGUGGUCAACACUCUGAAAGUAAUGCUGCCUACUUCUCUUGGCCUACUCUGAGUCGAUUAAAUGAUACAGCAGAAGAUAGAGCAAACUAUUUUGGAAACCUUCAGAAGGGGGUGCUGCCAGAAACUCUUGGGAGGUUGCCAUCAGGGCAGCAAGCCACCACCUUGCUCGAGCUGAUGACCAUUAGGGCAUUUCAUAGUAAAAUCUUGCGCCGGUUUAGUCUUGGCACAGCAAUUGGGUUUAGGAUUCGACGGGGUGUCUUGACAGAUAUUCCAGCUAUUCUUGUCUUUGUUGCCCGGAAAGUUCAUA
rnacentral:misc_RNA from 1 species